UACGGAGGAUGCAAGCGUUAUCCGGAUUUAUUGGGUUUAAAGGGUCCGCAGGCGGGGUCAUAAGUCAGUGGUGAAAUCCUGCAGCUUAACUGUAGAACUGCCAUUGAUACUGUGAUUCUUGAAUGUAGUUGACGUGGGCGGAAUAUGACAUGUAGCGGUGAAAUGCAUAGAUAUGUCAUAGAACACCAAUUGCGAAGGCAGCUCACGAAACUAUUAUUGACGCUCAGGGACGAAAGCGUGGGUAGCGAACAGG
rnacentral:rRNA from 1 species